AUAUCAUGUAUAGGACACAUGUAUACAAAUUUUUGGUGUCAAUUAAAAAGUAAAUUAACAUAAAACAACCUGGACAUCAUAACUUAACAAAUGUGACUCAAGAUCUGAGGAGGUCAACUCAGAAGGAAAGCACUUAGCAUAUUGAUAUGGACAGGAGACAGGGAAAUACUGGUCAGAAGAGGGCAGUUCCCUAGCAAAGGCUGCACCUUCAAGCCUUGAAACCUGUGGCCCUACAUGGGUACAGGCAUUCCUGUUUCCACACCCCAAGCCUGGAAACCUGGUAAUGUAAAUGGCUCUAAAUGAAAACAGGUAUGCCUAAAUGAAACCAAACACUAUUGGCCUACCAUGUCCCUGUAUCCUGUACCCAUAUAAACCCCAAGCCCCAGGCUCCAUGAGCUGACAAGCAGAAGAGCAGAGGAACAGAAGAGCAGUGCAACAGAGAAGGAGAGAAGAGGAGCAUCUGAAUAUUGAGCAGAAUUCGGCUGGGGAAGGUCAGAGAGAAGAUCGGCCACUGGAUGGCUGAAAUCCAGGGGAAGAUCAUCUUCCCACUCCAUCCCCUUUCUAGCUCCCCAUUCAUCCAGCUGAGAGCCUCCACCUGGCAAUAAAAUCCCCUACAUUUACUAUUC